UCGAGAAUCUUCCGCAAUGGACGAAAGUCUGACGGAGCGACGCCGCGUGAUUGAUGAAGCUCUUCGGAGUGUAAAGAUCUUUUAUGAGGGAAGAAGUUUAUUGACGGUACCUCAUGAAUAAGGGGCUCCUAAUCUCGUGCCAGCAGGAGCGGUAAUACGAGAGCCCCGAGCGUUAUCCGGAAUUAUUGGGCGUAAAGGGUGCGUAGGUGGUAGUGUUAGUCGUUUGUCAAAUCUCCAGGCUUAACCUGGAAACCGCGAACGAAACGGCACAACUAGAGAGUGUGAGGGGUAUAGGGAACUCAUGGUGUAGGGGUGAAAUCCGUUGAUAUCAUGGGGAACACCAAAAGCGAAGGCACUAUACUAGCACAUGUCUGACACUCAAGCACGAAAGCGUGGGUAGCGAAUGGG
rnacentral:rRNA from 1 species